rnacentral:lncRNA from 1 species
GAUGAUUUGUGUAUUGGAUUGUGUCUCCCUUAUGGUAGUUAUUUAUGGUAGUUACUGUCUGAUAUUAUUGCAUGCUAUUUUAUUUAAGGUUCUUAUGUGAAGAUAAUUAUUUACGCUAUUUCUGCUGGAAUUACUAAUGUUAUUUUGUUGUUGUUUUUGUUUUUCCUUUCCUUCACUGAGCCGAGGGUCGAUUGGAAACGGCCUCUAUGCCCUUUCGGGUAGGGGUAAGGCCCGUCUACAUAUUACCCUCCCCAGACCCCACUUUGUGGGACUAUACUGGGUUAUCUAAUCCUUUGGAAACGGCCUCUAUGCCCUUUCGGGUAGGGGUAAGGCCCGUCUACAUAUUACCCUCCCCAGACCCCACUUUGUGCGACUAUACUGGGUUGUUGUUGUUGUUGUUGUGUUGCGAUGCUUAAAUGGCCCAAAUUUUCUGUUGCUUUUUGUUUUUUUUGAAAUGAUUGUUGUUUUUAUUUUUUGCGAUUGAACUAUUAAUUUAGAGUUCCUGUGCAUGCUGAAUGUUUCACAUGAGUCAUUGACUCGACAUGCAGACAAUAUUAUGUAAAUCUUGAGCUUUAUGUCCAAUAACGCAUCGUUGCUAAUCUGGAGGUUUCAUGCCUUGGUUCCAGUUC